AAACUAGACAGCAGCAAAUUACGUCCAAAGCUCUCUCUCUCUCUCUCUCUAAAUAAAAGUGGAACUAAAAAGCUAUCUUGCUUGUAAGAACAAAGUAAAGACCUUAACCAAAGUUCUCUUUCAAAGCUUUUAUUAGUGUGGUCAUUUUUUCUUCCAUCUUACCAAGUCUCAUCUUAUUUUUUCUCCUUGCAACUUCUCAACUUUCAUCCAUGUCCGAAGAAAAGAAGGAUCUAUACCAUCAAGACCCUUUUUUCUACAAUCAACAUGAAAUCAACCAGUCAAGCUUAUUUCCAUUCUUUAAUGAUAAUAAUCCCUCAGUGUACAAUCACCCAGUCACACAAACCCUACAAGGCUUUGAUCCCUCAUUCAUGACCUUCACUGACUGCUUACAUGGCUCUAUGGACUACAACACCCUCUCAAGAGCCUUUGACAUGUCUUGUAAUUCACCAUCUGGUCAUCAAAAUCAUCAUCUAAUUACUCCAAUUGAUACCAAUCUGAAGAAGCAAGCAGCCAUGGGAGACUCAGCCGGCACCAGUGAAAACCCGUCCACGCCUAAUUCUUCGGUAUCAGCUUCUUCGUCUAACGAGGCAGCAGGCGAGGAAGAAUCUGAUAAGAGUAAGAAAGAUAAGCAACCACAGGGGUGUGAAGAAGAUGGAGAUGAAGCAAAGUCCAAGAAAGCGAACAAGCCGAAAAAGAAGGAGAAGCGGCAAAGGGAGCCACGUUUUGCCUUUUUGACUAAGAGUGAGAUCGAUCACCUUGAAGAUGGCUACAGAUGGAGAAAAUAUGGACAGAAGGCUGUCAAGAAUAGCCCUUAUCCAAGAAGUUAUUACAGAUGCACCAGUCAGAAGUGCACCGUGAAAAAACGUGUUGAAAGAAAUUUCCAGGAUCCAUCAAUUGUUAUCACAACAUAUGAGGGGCAGCACAACCAUCAAUGUCCGGCAACCCUUCGAGGAAACGCUGCUGGAAUGUUGUCACCUUCUUUGUUGGCAUGCGCUUCGAUUAGGCCAAGCUUUCCCCAACAACUACUCACUCAGUUUCUUCCAACAAACAACCAAGUUGAUCCAAAUUCCAUGUUCUAUCGAAACCUCAGUGCCCAACAGCAGCUCCAACUUCCUGAUUAUGGCUUACUGCAAGAUUUAGUUCCCUCAUUUAGUAACAGGCAAAAGCCAUGAAUUGUCUCUGCAAGAGAAUAUGAAUCUUCAUUCUAUGGCACUCUCAUUAAUACGAAAGUGAAUGAUGGUGUUUCCUUUAUAAAGGAAUGGCAGUCAGCAAGAAAUUGCCCAUAUGGGAAAUGAGGGAUUAAAGAGAGGUUAUGGCCUAUGCUAAGACAAGACCUAUGUCUUUUCAAGGAGUACAAGGCACUAUGUGCAUGUGUGCGUGUAGAUAGGGAAAAGAAUCCUUUGAGAGGGUCCCUGUUUAAAUGGAGAGAUUAUAUUUCACAAAUGAAAAUUUAGUUUU